UGUAUGCAGAAGUGUGCAGCACUCUACC
rnacentral:piRNA from 1 species